AUUGAACGCUGGCGGCAGGCCUAACACAUGCAAGUCGAACGAGUGGCGGACGGGUGAGUAGUGUCUGGGAAACUGCCCGAUGGAGGGGGCUAACUACUGGAAACGGUGGCUAAUACCGCAUACCAUCGGAUGUGCCCAGAUGGGAGUAGCUAGUCGGUGGGGUAAGGGCUCACCAAGGCGACGAUCCCUAGCUGGUCUGAGAGGAUGACCAGCCACACUGGAACUGAGACACGGCCCAGACUCCUACGGGAGGCAGCAGUGGGGAAGAUUGCAAAAUGGGCGAAAGCCUGAGGGAGCCAUGCCGCGUGUAUGAAGAAGGCCUUCGGAUUGUAAAGUACUUUCAGCGGGGAGGCGUUACUCACAGAAGAAGCACCGGCUAACUCCGUGCCAGCAGCCGCGGUAAUAC
rnacentral:rRNA from 1 species